rnacentral:rRNA from 1 species
AGUGAACGCUGGCGGCAUGCCUUACACAUGCAAGUCGAACGGCAGCACGGGAGCAAUCCUGGUGGCGAGUGGCGAACGGGUGAGUAAUAUAUCGGAACGUGCCCAGUCGUGGGGAUAACGUAGCGAAAGCUACGCUAAUACCGCAUACGAUCUAUGGAUGAAAGCGGGGGAUCGCAAGACCUCGCGCGAUUGGAGCGGCCGAUAUCAGAUUAGGUAGUUGGUGAGGUAAAGGCUCACCAAGCCGACGAUCUGUAGCUGGUCUGAGAGGACGACAGCCACACUGGGACUGAGACACGGCCCAGACUCCUACGGGAGGCAGCAGUGGGAAUUUUGGAC